rnacentral:rRNA from 1 species
GUCCACGCCGUAAACUAUGGAUGCUAGCCGUCGGCAAGCUUGCUUGUCGGUGGCGCAGCUAACGCAUUAAGCAUCCCGCCUGGGGAGUACGGCCGCAAGGUUAAAACUCAAAGGAAUUGACGGGGGCCCCGCACAAGCGGUGGAGCAUGUGGUUUAAUUCGACGCAACGCGAAGAACCUUACCAGCUCUUGACAUGUCCGGACGGUUUCCAGAAAUGGAUUCCUCCUAGCAAUAGGCCGGAACACAGGUGCUGCAUGGCUGUCGU